AUUGAACGCUGGCGGCAUGCCUUACACAUGCAAGUCGAACGGUAACGCGGGGCAACCUGGCGACGAGUGGCGAACGGGUGAGUAAAGUGUCGGAACGUGCCCAAUAGUGGGGGAUAGCCCGGCGAAAGCCGGAUUAAUACCGCAUGAGACCUGAGGGUGAAAGCGGGGGACUCGCAAGAGCCUCGCGCUGUUGGAGCGGCCGAUAUCAGAUUAGGUAGUUGGUGGGGUAAAGGCCUACCAAGCCGACGAUCUGUAGCUGGUCUGAGAGGACGACCAGCCACACUGGGACUGAGACACGGCCCAGACUCCUACGGGAGGCAGCAGUGGGGAAUUUUGGACAAUGGGCGCAAGCCUGAUCCAGCCAUGCCGCGUGCGGGAAGAAGGCCUCGG
rnacentral:rRNA from 1 species